GACGAACGCUGGCGGCGUGCUUAACACAUGCAAGUCGAACGGAAAGGCCUUCAGCUUGCUGCGUGUACGCGAGUGGCGAACGGGUGAGUAACACGUGUGUGAUCUGCCUUGCACUUCGGGAUAAGCUGGGGAAACUGGGUCUAAUACCGGAUAAGACAGCGGUGUAGUGUCAGGUGUGGAAAGUUUUUUCGGUGCAGGAUGAGCUCGCGGCCUAUCAGCUUGUUGGUGGGGUAAUGGCCUACCAAGGCGUCGACGGGUAGCCGGCCUGAGAGGGUGUACGGCCACAUUGGGACUGAGAUACGGCCCAGACUCCUACGGGAGGCAGCAGUGGGGAAUAUUGCACAAUGGGCGGAAGCCUGAUGCAGCGACGCCGCGUGGGGGAUGAAGGCCUUCGGGUUGUAAACUCCUUUCGACAGGGACGAAGCUUUUGUGACGGUAACUGUAUAAGAAGCACCGGCUAACUACGUG
rnacentral:rRNA from 1 species